UACGUAGGCAGCAAGCGUUGUUCGGAAUUACUGGGCGUAAAGAGUGUGUAGGCGGUGUUCUAAGUCUGUUGUGAAAUCUCCCGGCUUAACUGGGAGGGUGCGGCGGAAACUGGAAUGCUAGAGGAUGGGAGAGGUAAGCGGAAUUCCUGGUGUAGCGGUGAAAUGCGUAGAUAUCAGGAGGAACACCGGUGGCGAAGGCGGUUCUCUGGGAAUAUCCUGACGCUGAGGAGCGAAAGUGUGGGGAGCGAACAGG
rnacentral:rRNA from 1 species